GUGAACGCUGGCGGCGUGUCUAAGGCAUGCAAGUCGAACGGUGCGAGCAAUCGCACAGUGGCAAACGGGUGAGUAACACAUUGGCAAUUUACCCUCUAUAGGUGAAUAACUCUCCGAAAGGAGAGCUAAUACACCGUACGCUCAUUUGGCAUAAGUCAAAUGAGGAAAGAUUUAUCGAUAGAGGAUAAGCCUAUGGCCUAUCAGCUAGUUGGUGAGGUAACGGCCCACCAAGGCUACGACGGGUAGCGGGUGUGAGAGCAUGACCCGCCUCAUGGGGACUGAGACACUGCCCUGACUCCUACGGGAGGCUGCAGUUAAGAAUCUUCCGCAAUGGCCGAAAGGCUGACGGAGCGACGCCGCGUGUAGGAUGAAAUCCUUCGGGAUGUAAACUACUUUUAUGUGGGACGAAUAUUUUGACGGUACCACAAGAAUAAGGGGCUGCUAAACUCGU
rnacentral:rRNA from 1 species